AGAUGGAGGGUUUCGCCGGCAACAGUCGCCCCCGCCGACGGCUCCUUCCGGGGAGCGGGUGCAAAACUCGCUCCCUCCAGCUACCUUUCGAUGGAAUACGCCCCCCUCUGUCGGAAGGGAAAAGGGCGGCGGGGUCCCCCAGCCUCGCCGCCCGCUUUU
rnacentral:sRNA from 1 species